rnacentral:rRNA from 1 species
GAUGAACGCUGGCGGCGUGCCUAAUACAUGCAAGUCGAGCGAACAGACGAGUAGCUUCCGCCGCUGACGUUAGCGACGGACGGGUGACUAAUACGUGGAUCACCUACCUAUGAGACUGGGAUACCUUCGGGAAACCGGAGCUACUACCGGAUAACAUGUUGCACCGCAGGGUUCCACAGUGAAAGACGGUCUUUCUGUCACUUAUAGGUUGAUCCGCGCCGCAUUAGCUAGUUGGUAAGGGAACGGCUUACCAAGGAAACGAUGCGUAGCCGACCUGAGAGCGUGAUCGGCCACACUGGAACUGAGACACGGUCCAGACUCCUACGGUAGGCAGCAGUAGGGAAUCUUCCGCGAUGGGCGAAAGCCUGACGGAGCAACGCCGAGUGAGUGAAGAAGGUCUUCGGAUCGUAAAACUCUGUUAUUAGGGAAGAACAAAUGUGUAAGUAACUAUGCACGUCUUGACGGUACCUAAUCAGAAAGCCACGGCUAACUACGUG